rnacentral:rRNA from 1 species
UACGAAGGGUGCAAGCGUUAAUCGGAAUUACUGGGCGUAAAGCGUGCGUAGGUGGUCUUUUAAGUCCGUUGUGAAAGCCCUGGGCUCAACCUGGGAAUGGCAGUGGAUACUGCAAGGCUGGAGUACGGCAGAGGGAGGUGGAAUUCCAGGUGUAGCAGUGAAAUGCGUAGAUAUCUGGAGGAACACCGAUGGCGAAGGCAGCCUCCUGGGCUAGUACUGACGCUCAUGCACGAAAGCGUGGGGAGCAAACAGG